rnacentral:rRNA from 1 species
CGGCCCGCCGGGAAAUGUGGUGUUAGGGAGGGUCCAUUAUCCCGAGAUCAUGCGGCGCGUCCAAGUCCUUCUUGAACGGGGCCACAGCCCAUAGUAGGGUGCCAGGCCCGUAGCGACCGCUGCUGAUCGCGGGAGGAUCUCUCCUCAGAGUCGGGUUGCUUGAGAGUGCAGCCCUAAGUGGGUGGUAAACUCCAUCUAAGGCUAAAUAUGACCACGAGACCGAUAGCGAACAAGUACCGUGAGGGAAAGUUGAAAAGCACUUUGAAGAGAGAGUUCAAGAGUACGUGAAACCGUUUAGGGGUAAACCUGAGAAACCCGAAAGGUCGAAGGGAGAAAUUCAUUCGCGUUUCGAUGUUGGCGUGAAGGGGUCGUGUGACGGAGAAGGUUUACCCGAUCUGCGCCUUCUCUUUUUCGAUCUGACGUCGAACGCGUGCACUUUUCUCCUGGUAGGACGUCGCGAUCCGUUGGGUGUCGAUCUACGGCCCGAGGUGGAGCCCGGAUGGUUUUUUGCCGUUCGGACCCUCGGUGUCCUGGCCGACUCGCUCGACGGUAUACGAACGGUCGAGGGCCGCUUUUAUAGCGUUCGACUCGUUGCAAGCGCGUCGGAAGCGUUGGAUACCGGACCUAGCGCCGAUACUGAUCUCCGAUGGCUGUUGGCGACGAAGUUCUCGGACAGACCCUCAUGACCGAUCUGCGACGCUAUAGCUUUGGGUACUUUCAGGACCCGUCUUGAAACACGGACCAAGGAGUCUAGCAUGUGCGCGAGUCAUUGGGAAUCAUUAAACCUAAAGGCGUAAUGAAAGUAAAGGUUCGUCUUGCACAAACCGAGGGAGGAUGGGUGGUUCGCCCUUAAAAGCGACCGCUCCGCACUCCCGGGGCGUCUCGUUUCUCAUUGCGAGAAGAGGCGCACCAAGAAGCGUACACGCUGGGACCCGAAAGAUGUGAACUAUGCCUGGUC